rfam:Dictyostelium discoideum AX4 chromosome 2, whole genome shotgun sequence.
UUAAUGAUGUAUUCCUCAGCUCACACCGACCACGAUGACGACAAAAAACUUUGUUCCUUAUUUUUAUUGUCUGACA